CCCCCCUAUAUCCUGUGGUGAGAUGGCAGGGUGACCCCACCCGCCACCCGUGAAGAUCCACGGUGGAGCAAACAUUGAUUUACAGCAUUUUGUUCCUGC